GUUUUUGGAUGCACAACAGCUGAAGAUUGUGCCUGGAUUCCCCUUUGCAAGCAUUCUGGAGUCACAACAUCGGCAUAGAAGGUGGCCAGCCUUCGGCUUUUGCAGUCGUUUGUGGAGUCUUUAUGGAAGAGCAGCGUGGUCAAGAGACCACGGCUGCGUAACCCCGUCUGCAGUAUGUGAGGCCGGAGUGCUGACCCUGGACCUGCCCAGUCAUGCCUUCUCGGUCAGCUGUUCAUCUCAUCUGCUACCACGUUUUGUGUAGAUGAACAACAAGCCUGGAAUCACGCGUGGGAAUGCCAGCCUCACAUGACAUAGAAGACAGAGAAGGAGGAGGCGGGCACAAGCGGGACCCCACAGCCAGCAGCCCCCUUCAGACUGCUGGGAGAUAGCCAAUGGUUUGCAGCAACCAAGUGAAAGCCCAGCUAGGACAGAGGCGACCAAGACCCUCGCUGCAGCCUCAACUGCCCUCCUUGGCGAGGUGGCUGCUCCCAUGCCUGGGGCAAAUACUUGGACUCAAGAGCAAGGAAUGUCCUGAAGACUUGCACAGGGAAAAGUAUUG
rnacentral:lncRNA from 10 species